AUUGAACGCUGGCGGCAUGCUUUACACAUGCAAGUCGAACGGCAGCACGGGGGGGUAACCCUCUGGUGGCGAGUGGCGAACGGGUGAGUAAUGCAUCGGAACGUACCGUGUAGAGGGGGAUAACUAUCCGAAAGGAUGGCUAAUACCGCAUGAGCCCUGAGGGGGAAAGCUGGGGACCGGAGACGGCCUGGCGCUAUACGAUCGGCCGAUGUCCGAUUAGCUAGUUGGUGAGGUAAAGGCUCACCAAGCCGACGAUCUGUAGCUGGUCUGAGAGGACGACCAGCCACACUGGGACUGAGACACGGCCCAGACUCCUACGGGAGGCAGCAGUGGGGAAUUUUGGACAAUGGGCGAAAGCCUGAUCCAGCCAUGCCGCGUGCAGGAUGAAGGCCUUCGGGUUGUAAACUGCUUUUGUACGGAACGAAAAGGUUUGGCCUAAUAAGCUGAGCUCAUGACGGUACCGUAAGAAUAAGCACCGGCUAACUACGUGCCAGCCGCCGCGGUAA
rnacentral:rRNA from 1 species